CCAGGGGAAGGGGAUUCUGUAAAAAUAAUUUUACAGAUGAUUUUACAGUUCAUCAUUGAAAGAAUCCAGUACAGAAACUCAAGCAGGAACCUGGAAGCAAAACCGGAAGCAGAGACUGUGGAGAAAUGCCCCAAUGCCAUGCUCCAUGACACCCCAGCAGUGAACCACACACAGCCAAGAUAAUUUAGACUAUCACAACUGACAGUUCUAAAUUAGGCAAAUCCAGGCUUUCUUCCUCCUGUGCUGGUCCAUGGCUUGCUCAGCUUGCUUUCUCACAAGACCCAAGAUCAACUUCUGUGGGUAGCACUGCCCACCAUGACCUAAAU
rnacentral:lncRNA from 1 species